UACCAGGGAGGAUAACGUUGCUUCAGCAACGGCCCGCAGGGCGAGGCGCAGCCGAGUAAUCCUCCCGGAUGCACCA
rnacentral:sRNA from 2 species